AACGAACGCUGGCGGCAUGCCUAACACAUGCAAGUCGAACGAGACCUUCGGGUCUAGUGGCGCACGGGUGCGUAACGCGUGGGAACCUGCCCUUAGGUUCGGAAUAACUCCCCGAAAGGGGUGCUAAUACCGGAUAAUGUCUUCGGACCAAAGAUUUAUCGCCUUUGGAUGGGCCCGCGUUGGAUUAGCUAUUUGGUAGGGUAAAAGCCUACCAAGGCGACGAUCCAUAGCUGGUCUGAGAGGAUGAUCAGCCACACUGGGACUGAGACACGGCCCAGACUCCUACGGGAGGCAGCAGUGGGGAAUAUUGGACAAUGGGCGAAAGCCUGAUCCAGCAAUGCCGCGUGAGUGAUGAAGGCCUUAGGGUUGUAAAGCUCUUUUACCCGGGAUGAUAAUGACAGUACCGGGAGAAUAAGCGCCGGCUAACUCCGUG
rnacentral:rRNA from 1 species